UGGGGAAUCUUGCACAAUGGGGGAAACCCUGAUGCAGCGACGCCGCGUGAGCGAUGAAGCCCUUCGGGGUGUAAAGCUCUUUCGGCAGGAACGAUAAUGACGGUACCUGCAGAAGAAGCUGCGGCUAACUACGUGCCAGCAGCCGCGGUAAUACGUAGGCAGCAAGCGUUGUUCGGAGUUACUGAGCGUAAAGAGUGCGUAGGCGGUCCUCUAAGUUCGGUGUGAAAUCUCCCGGCUCAACUGGGAGGGUGCGCCGGAAACUGGAGGGCUUGAGUAUGGGAGAGGAAAGCGGAAUUCCUGGUGUAGCGGUGAAAUGCGUAGAUAUCAGGAGGAACACCUGUGGUGUAGACGGCUUUCUGGACCAUGACUGACGCUGAGGCACGAAAGCGUGGGGAGCAAACA
rnacentral:rRNA from 1 species